rnacentral:rRNA from 1 species
GGUUAACGGAGCGUAAGCGACGUUCAACACAAAAAUCAGGCAGUGGAGCGUUUUGGGGUGGGGUGACUGCGUACCUUUUGUAUAAUGGGUCAGCGACUUAUAUUCUGUAGCAAGGUUAACCGCAUAGGGGAGCCGGAGGGAAACCGAGUCUUAAUUGGGCGUUAAGUUGCAGGGUAUAGACCCGAAACCCGGUGAUCUAGCCAUGGGCAGGUUGAAGGUUGGGUAACACUAACUGGAGGACCGAACCGACUAAUGUUGAAAAAUUAGCGGAUGACCUGUGGCUGGGGGUGAAAGGCCAAUCAAACCGGGAGAUAGCUGGUUCUCCCCGAAAGCUAUUUAGGUAGCGCCUCGUGAAUUCAUCUCCGGGGGUAGAGCACUGUUUCGGCCAGGGGGCCAUCCCGGCUUACCAAUCCGAUGCAAACUGCGAAUACCGGAGAAUGUUAUCACGGGAGACACACGGCGGGUGCUAACGUCCGUCGUGAAGAGGGAAACAACCCAGACCGCCAGCUAAGGUCCCAAAGUCAUGGUUAAGUGGGAAACGAUGUGGGAAGGCCCAGACAGCCAGGAUGUUGGCUUAGAAGCAGCCAUCAUUUAAAGAAAGCGUAAUAGCUCACUGGUCGAGUCGGCCUGCGCGGAAGAUGUAACGGGGCUAAACCAU